GGAUGAACCCUUUCUACAGGCUUAACACAUGCAAGUCGAGGGGCAGCAUGGUCUUAGCUUGCUAAGGCCGAUGGCGACCGGCGCACGGGUGAGUAACACGUAUCCAACCUGCCGUCUACUCUUGGACAGCCUUCUGAAAGGAAGAUUAAUACAAGAUGGCAUCAUGAGUCCACAUGUUCACAUGAUUAAAGGUAUUCCGGUAGACGAUGGGGAUGCGUUCCAUUAGAUAGUAGGCGGGGUAACGGCCCACCUAGUCUUCGAUGGAUAGGGGUUCUGAGAGGAAGGUCCCCCACAUUGGAACUGAGACACGGUCCAAACUCCUACGGGAGGCAGCAGUGAGGAAUAUUGGUCAAUGGGCGAGAGCCUGAACCAGCCAAGUAGCGUGAAGGAUGACUGCCCUAUGGGUUGUAAACUUCUUUUAUAAAGGAAUAAAGUCGGGUAUGCAUACCCGUUUGCAUGUACUUUAUGAAUAAGGAUCGGCUAACUCCGUGCCAGCAGCCGCGGUAAUACGGAGGAUCCGAGCGUUAUCCGGAUUUAUUGGGUUUAAAGGGAGCGUAGAUGGAUGUUUAAGUCAGUUGUGAAAGUUUGCGGCUCAACCGUAAAAUUGCAGUUGAUACUGGAUAUCUUGAGUGCAGUUGAGGCAGGCGGAAUUCGUGGUGUAGCGGUGAAAUGCUUAGAUAUCACGAAGAACUCCGAUUGCGAAGGCAGCCUGCUAAGCUGCAACUGACAUUGAGGCUCGAAAGUGUGGGUAUCAAACAGGAUUAGAUACCCUGGUAGUCCACACGGUAAACGAUGAAUACUCGCUGUUUGCGAUAUACUGCAAGCGGCCAAGCGAAAGCGUUAAGUAUUCCACCUGGGGAGUACGCCGGCAACGGUGGAACUCAAAGGAAUUGACGGGGGCCCGCACAAGCGGAGGAACAUGUGGUUUAAUUCGAUGAUACGCGAGGAACCUUACCCGGGCUUAAAUUGCAGAUGAAUUACGGUGAAAGCCGUAAGCCGCAAGGCAUCUGUGAAGGUGCUGCAUGGUUGUCGUCAGCUCGUGCCGUGAGGUGUCGGCUUAAGUGCCAUAACGAGCGCAACCCUUGUUGUCAGUUACUAACAGGUUCUGCUGAGGACUCUGACAAGACUGCCAUCGUAAGAUGUGAGGAAGGUGGGGAUGACGUCAAAUCAGCACGGCCCUUACGUCCGGGGCUACACACGUGUUACAAUGGGGGGUACAGAGGGCCGCUACCACGCGAGUGGAUGCCAAUCCCAAAAACCUCUCUCAGUUCGGACUGGAGUCUGCAACCCGACUCCACGAAGCUGGAUUCGCUAGUAAUCGCGCAUCAGCCACGGCGCGGUGAAUACGUUCCCGGGCCUUGUACACACCGCCCGUCAAGCCAUGGGAGCCGGGGGUACCUGAAGUGCGUAACCGCGAGGAGCGCCCUAGGGUAAAACUGGUGACUG
rnacentral:rRNA from 1 species